UAACAAGGAUUCCCCUAGUAACUGCGAGUGAAGCGGGAAAAGCUCAAAUUUAAAAUCUGGUAGUCUUUGGCUGCCCGAGUUGUAAUCUGGAGAAGCGCUUUCCGCGCUGGACCGUGUACAAGUCUCCUGGAACGGAGCGUCAUAGAGGGUGAGAAUCCCGUCUUUGACACGGACUACCAGUGCUUUGUGAUGUGCUCUCAAAGAGUCGAGUUGUUUGGGAAUGCAGCUCAAAAUGGGUGGUAAACUCCAUCUAAAGCUAAAUAUUGGCGAGAGACCGAUAGCGAACAAGUACCGUGAGGGAAAGAUGAAAAGCACUUUGGAAAGAGAGUUAAACAGUACGUGAAAUUGCUGAAAGGGAAACGCUUGAAGUCAGUCGCGUUUGCUAGGACUCAGCCUUGCCUCGGCUUGGUGCAUUUCCUAGUAGACGGGCCAGCAUCACUUUUGGCUGCGGGAAAAAGGUCAGAGGAAUGUGGCACCUCCGGGUGUGUUAUAGCCUCUGGCUGUAUACCGUGGCUGGGAGUGAGGAAUUCAGCACGCCUUCAUGGCGGGGCUUCGGCCACCUUCGUGCUUAGGAUGCUGGCGU
rnacentral:rRNA from 1 species